rnacentral:tRNA from 1 species
GCCCCCAUCGUCUAGCGGCCUAGGACAUCGCCCUCUCACUGCGAAGACAGGGGUUCAAAUCCCCUUGGGGGUACCA